CAGGCCGUGCGCAGCCCCCAGGGCCGCCUCCUCGGCCGCGCCAGGCGGGAUCCCGUAAUCCGCUGCUGGCCUGACGCGUAGCUGCUGUGGCGAGAAAAAUCGCGUCUGCGUUAAUGGCGCAUUCGCGGGAGAUGACACGAAAGCAGGGGCUUGGCCUCCGAGUUGCCGGAGGAUGAGAGCCCAAAAGUGCACUGCACCCGCUGGUUUCCUCUGUCGUUGCACUGCUCUUUUUUUUUUCCCCUCCCUCCCAGAGUCUUUUGGAGAUGAUGCCAUUGAAUGCACUUUUGUCUCUCACUAGGUAUGGAUAACGGGAAGGAUGAGAAAAGUAGGACGCUGUGUGCAACUUCACAAGAAGGGCUGAAAAUCCGAGGAAAAGAAAAAAGGAAACGAAAACGCAGUAGGAGCAGAUCAUCAUCCGUUUCAUCCACAUCGUCUUCUAGCACUACAUCCACUUCUUCCUCCUCAUCACGCUCAUCGUCAAGGUCAUCAUCUUCAAGUAGCAGAGAUUCUCCUAAGUCUAAGUCAAAGAAAAAGAAAAAAGAAAA